CCCUUAGAUGUUCUGGGCCGCACGCGUGCUACACUGAGUAAUUCAGUGGGUAAGGGAACGCUAGAGCAUUACCUAAUCUUGAAAUUUGCUCGUGAUGGGGAUCGACGGUUGCAAUUUUCCGUCGUGAACGAGGAAUACCUUGUAGGCGCAUGUCAUCAUCAUGCGCCGAAUACGUCCCUGCCCUUUGUACACACCGCCCGUCGCUCCUACCGAUUGAGUGAUCCGGUGAGGCUCUGGGACCUGGACGGAAAGAGCGUUUCGCUUGUUCUGUUUGGGAAACUUGGUCGAACCUUAUCAUUUAGAGGAAGGAGAAGUCGUAACA
rnacentral:rRNA from 1 species